CACGUAGGGACCGAGCGUUGUCCGGAUUUAUUGGGCGUAAAGAGUAUGUAGGCGGCUAUUUAAGUCAGACAUGCAAGCCCACGGCUCAACCGUGGAGUUGCGUUUGAAACUAUUUAGCUUGAGUUCAGGAGAGGAAGGCGGAAUUCCCAGUGUAGCGGUGAAAUGCAUUGAUAUUGGGAAGAACACCGGUGGCGAAGGCGGCCUUCUGGUCUGAUACUGACGCUGAGAUACGAAGGCCAGGGGAGCGAACGGG
rnacentral:rRNA from 1 species